CGAGAUUGGAGCCUCCGCGCUCCGGCUGC
rnacentral:sRNA from 1 species